rnacentral:misc_RNA from 1 species
UGUGUCUCAGGCUUUUAGGUG